CACAAUCCCAAAGAAGAAGAAGGGUUCUUUGACGCAACUACGUGGGAUUAUUUUAAAUAGGACAAGAUGGCCGAGGUUAGCGGGCUGAGGAAACGGAAUCAUUUCGAACAAAACCGCAAAAGACACGUCUGUGACGAAGGUGCGGGUGGUGUGGAAGAUGUUCCUCUGUCCCUGCCAGAUCGGAAGCCUCCUCCCAGGAUGGCGCCUCGGGCAGAGGCGGAUAGCGAGACAGACGAGGAGUGGGAACAUGCCCCAGAGCUGACUGCUGCCUAUCAAAGUCCUGUCAAGGAGCAACCUGUAGAAGAGGAGAAGGCUCGGCCCAUCCAGAUUGUCCUGGCUCACGAAGACUACCACAAAUUUGAGCUGGACACCGCUGCUCUGGAGAAGCUCUUACUGCAGGAGGAUGUCAGAGACCUUAAUGUGGUGGUGGUGUCAGUGGCUGGGGCCUUCCGUAAGGGCAAGUCCUUCCUGCUGGAUUUCAUGCUCCGAUACAUGCUCAACCAGCAGCAGGAGCAGUCAGAAUCGUGGGUUGGGGCUGAUGAUGAGCCGCUGACAGGGUUCAGCUGGAGAGGAGGCAGUGAGAGGGAGACCACAGGGAUCCAGGUCUGGAGUCAAGUGUUUGUGGUCAACAAGCCGGAUGGGAGCAAGGUUGCUGUUCUGCUAGUGGAUACACAAGGAGCCUUCGACAGCCAGUCUACCAUAAAGGACUGUGCAACGGUUUUUGCCUUGAGCACCAUGACCAGCUCUGUACAGGUGUAUAACUUGUCCCAGAAUAUUCAGGAGGAUGAUCUUCAGCAUCUCCAGCUCUUCACAGAAUACGGCCGGCUUGCUUUGGAGGAAAUCUAUCUAAAACCCUUCCAGUCUCUCAUGUUCCUCAUCAGAGACUGGAGCUAUCCAUAUGAGCACAACUAUGGACUGGAGGGAGGUAAACGCUUUCUAGAGAAGAGACUGCAGGUGAAACAGAACCAGCACGAGGAACUGCAGACCGUGAGGAAACACAUCCACUCCUGCUUCUCCAACAUCGGUUGCUUCCUACUGCCCCACCCCGGCCUCAAAGUGGCCAUUAACCCCAUGUUUGACGGCAGAUUAAAAGACAUUGAUGGUGACUUUAAGGAGGCACUGGGCAAACUGGUGCCCUUACUGCUGGCUCCUGAGAACCUGGUGGAGAAGGAGAUAGGAGGGGCUAAAGUGACCUGCAGAGAUCUAGUGGAGUACUUUAAGGCCUAUAUAAAGAUCUAUCAAGGGGAGGAGCUUCCUCAUCCUAAAUCAAUGUUACAGGCAACUGCUGAAGCCAACAACCUUACAGCAGUUGCUGGAGGAAAAGACACUUACAGCAAAAGCAUGGAAAUGGUGUGUGGAGGGGACAAGCCCUACAUCGCCCCUGCAGACUUGGAACGCUGCCACGAGGAGUUCAAGGAGUGCUCGGUGCGUCAGUUCCGCUCUGUGAAGAAGAUGGGAGGGGAGGACUUCUGCAAGAAAUACCAGGAGCAGCUGGAGGGCGAGCUGGAUGAGGCCUACUCUAACUUCCAUAAGCACAACGAGGGCAAGAACAUCUUCUACGCUGCACGCACACCCGCCACGCUCUUCGUUGUCAUGUUCACCACCUACAUCGUCUCAGGGCUGACCGGCUUCAUUGGAAUGAACACUAUUGCCUUGCUGGCCAACCUGGUCAUGGGCGUGGCUCUCAUAACCCUCUGCAUGUGGGCCUACGUCAAAUACUCAGGGGAGUUCAGAGAUGUGGGCACCAUCAUAGACCUGUUGGCAGAGACACUCUGGGAACAGAGUCCAGAUUUCUAGUGGCUCUAGUUCCCCAUCAGCCCUGAACUCAAUCGCAUUAUCCUUCACCAGCCCUAUCCAAUGAGCUACCAGCCUUUUUCCUUUACCAUCCAAUCAGCUUGCCCGAUCUGUUCUUUUAAUCUGAUCUUGCUCUCCUCUCCGCCUCAGAUGACUGCCAGAAAGGUGCUUUCCAAACUCUUUGAGUUGGCCAGGAGUCGAAUCACGUGCCACUCUUUCCUACCAUCAGCAGCAACGCAGAGAAAGAGACUCCCCUCAAACAACAAUGACAAGAAGACUCACUAACUUUUCUGGCUAGCUGCUUGGCUCUUUAUUUCCAAAUGCAUCUGCAGUCCACUCUUGUCAUUCCUUGUGACAUAUGGGGCUGGUCUUAAUUACAGGGAGGUUGUGUUUGCCUAGUUCAGUCUACAUGUAGAAUGCAGGUGUUGAAGCCACUGAGUGCGCAAUAUAUGGAGGAUAACGUUAGACAGACUGUGGUUAACUCCAUCAGAGCCAGUCUGACGGAACAAGCCACACAGCACGCAAAAUUAAAGCCACACUGACCCCUCUUGCUAUUACUCUACCAUCCACUCACCCCACCCCUUCAUUCAGUGCUAAAUCCUAGGACUGUGGCACUGUGCAAACCAAAGUUUACCCUGCACAGGCCCAGCCAGCCUCCCUGUCUGCUGUAGUGGCCUGUCUUACUGCUGGCUACUCUACUCUUGGAUCCCCCUGUUGGAAGGUGGACAAUCAGCGAGUUAAGAAGUAGUUGCCGGUCCGCUCUCACCUUUAACACAAUUUGACUGAUUCACACGCAACCCCCCCCCCCAUACACACCUAUGUCAGGAUUUUAAAUUAUUAAGAGUUAGGUUUGCUGACCCGGUUUUAGUGUUGUCAUAUUAAGCAGAUUGCACUUGCUUGGUUUCAAGGUUAAUUCAGGGAGUCACAGCUCUUUGGUGUGCCAUUGGAUGCAAGAUGAACUGUCUGUAUAGUCAUGCAUACUAUAGCCUAGCCGUUGUUCCUACCCUCUCUCCUGAUGCCGUUUGGUUAACAGGGGUGAAUUUGGAAAUCCUUUGAGCCUCUUUAGUUGUUUUAAGAUACUGCUUUUUAAUCUUGCUUUAGUGUCUAUCUACCAGUGUUAUCUACUGCAUGGUAUUAGACAAACACAGCAUAGCACUAUAAUAGGCCCUAGAGCUCAAUCUAUUGUGCUUAGCAGGGGAAUGUAAUUCAGACCGUUUCAUUAAUUUGCCUUUCUUGAAAACCCACAGAACAGUGGGAGUGAUCAAUGGUAUUGCACAUCUAGUUUUUUUGUCAAUACAGCACUAAUGAUAUCAGUUAGGUCAACGCUUUUGUACCAAUUCCAUCCACAACUGUCUCGCCUAGGAACGCGGCAGUUGUUACAGUUCAUUUAAAAAAAAUAGGGAAUGAUGUAUGACACAUUUUACACUUUGUAUAAAUUCUAGUGUUGGCGGGGUGUUUUUUGUUGAUUGGCCUAGUGUGGUUUUAAGGAAUGUUUUGUGAUUGGUCUUAGUUGCAUCUUUUUCAGUGAUCUACUAUACCGGUACGUAAACAAACUCUAGGCUAGAGCAUUUAGAUUCCACCCCGGACAAAGCUUUCUGGAAUUUGAUGAGUGGGUCGAUUGUCUUUUUAAAUCACUUCCUGGAAUUUAUUUUUCAAUAAACAAGUACAUUGACCUUAUUGAUUAAAAUCGAUAAUCUAC